GUCGAGCGGACGGAUGGGAGCUUGCUCCCUGUGGUUUUCGGCGCGCGGGUGUGUAACACGUGGGUAACCUGCCCCUUUGACAGGGAUAACUCCGGGAAAACGGGGCUAAUACCCCGGGGUUGUUUGAAACCGCGGGUUCAAUUAUGUAAGGUGGGUUUUACCUAUCACUUCCAAAUGGACCCGCGGCGUAUUACCUAGUUGGGAAGGUAACGGCUCACCCAGGCAACAAUGCGUACCCAACCUGAAAGGGGGACCGGCCCCCCGGGACCGGAACCCCGGCCCAAACUCCUACGGGAGGCACCAUUAGGGAACCUUCCGCAAUGGACAAAAGUCUGACGAACCACCGCCCCGGGAUGGGAAAAGGUUUUCGAAUCCCCUUUCUCUGUUGUUAGCCACGGGCGUGUACCGUUUAAAAAGGCCGGUACCUUGAGGGCACCAAACCAAAAAGCCACCGCUAACAACAGGCCACCACCCGCGGUAAUACUUAGGUGGCAACCGUUGUCCGGAAUUAUUGGGCGUAAAGCGAGCGCAGGCGCUUUCUUAACUCUGAUUUGAAAGCCCCCGGCUCAACCGGGGAGGGUCAUUGGAAACUGGGGAACUUGAGUGCAGAAGAGGAGAGUGGAAUUCCACGUGUAGCGGUGAAAUGCGUAGAGAUGUGGAGGAACGCCGUCCACUCACGAGGAGUGCUGAUGCUUAACGUACGCUGAGGCGCGAAAGCGUGGGGAGCGGACAGGAUUAGACCUACUGGUACUCCACGCCGUAAACGAUGAGUGGUAAGUGUCGAAGGGUUUCCGCCCUUUAGUGCUGCAGCAAACGCAUUAAGCACUCCGCCUGGGGAGUACGGUCGCAAGACUGAAACUCAAAGGAAUUGACGGGGGCCCGCACAAGCGGUGGAGCAUGUGGUUUAAUUCGAAGCAACGCGAAGAACCUUACCAGGUCUUGACAUCCUCUGACCACCCUAGAGAUAGGGCUUCACCUUCGGGGGCAGAGUGACAGGUGGUGCAUGGUUCUCGUCAGCUCGUGUCGUGAGAUGUUGGGUUAAGUCCCGCAACGAGCGCAACCCUUCGCCUUAUUGCUA
rnacentral:rRNA from 1 species